CAUGUGUCUGCGGUGGAUCCAUUUUCUUUUUACACCCAGAACUAUUCAGAUCAGAAGGUUUUCAGAGAGUUUUGGGCAAAACACACACAAAUCCCCAAUAUGACAAUAAUUGAAACUUGUCUCUGGAAACACCUCUCACUACACAUGCAUGCCUUCACUUCUCUUAUCAUAUAUUCAUAUGUACAUAUAAUGGAUGAUUACAUUUUACACGUCAUCAUCAUCACAAUCAUCAGU